AGUGAACGCUGGCGGCAUGCCUAACACAUGCAAGUCGAACGGCAGCACAGUAAGAUCUUGCUCUUACCGGUGGCGAGUGGCGGACGGGUGACGAAUACAUCGGAAUCUUCUUUUUCGGGGGGGAUAACGUAGGGAAACUUACGCUAAUACCGCAUACGACGUACGGGUGAAAGCAGGGGAGAUUCGGACCUUUCGGGGUUGUACGCGCCGAUGUCGGAUUGGCUAGUUGGCGGGGUAAAGACCCACCUAGGCGAGGAUCCGUUGCUGGUGUGCGAGGAGGAUCAGCGACACUGGAGCUGGGACACGGUCCAGAGUCCUACGGGAGGGCGCAGUGGGGAAUAUUGGACAAUGGGGGCAAGCCUGAUCCAGCCAUACCGCGUGGGUGAAGAAGGCCUUCGGGUUGUAAAGCCCUUUUGUUGGGAAAGAAAAGCAGCAGGUUAAUACCCCGCUGUUCUGACGGUACCCAAAGAAUAAGCACCGGCUAACUUCGUG
rnacentral:rRNA from 1 species